rnacentral:ncRNA from 2 species
UACAGAGGGGGCAAGCGUUGUUCGGAAUUACUGGGCGUAAAGGGCGCGUAGGCGGCCAACUAAGUCGGACGUGAAAUCCCCAGGCUCAACCUGGGAACUGCGUCCGAUACUGAUUGGCUCGAGUUCGGGAGAGGGAAGUGGAAUUCCAGGUGUAGCGGUGAAAUGCGUAGAUAUCUGGAGGAACACCGGUGGCGAAGGCGGCUUCCUGGACCGACACUGACGCUGAGGCGCGAAAGCCAGGGGAGCAAACGGG